UCCUAUGGAUGAGCAAAGAAAGUGGCUUCAUGAGAUGGAAUUUACUCCGGUGAAGAUUCUGGGAA
rnacentral:pre_miRNA from 1 species